UAGUAUAAUUUAUUUUUUUUCUUGCGGUCCGAAGUCAUAUUUUACGCUUUUCUGCAAUCUGAUUGGCUACGUGAGCGGUCCGUAUGAACCCGUACGGACCGCGCGAGAUUUAAAGCCAUAGAGCCAAUGUUUUUAUUUUUCAAAAUUUAAAGACGAGUUUAAAGGCUACUUUUUAAAACAUUAAAAUGUCUGCAGACGAUGAAAAACACAGUGAAAACGAAUUUUACUAUCUCACAAAAGAUAUUUCUCUUCCCGAUAGCAUUGAUAGAAACGACGUUUUAUUUGGCAGCUUCAUUCGCGUGCGGGAGGAG